CGUAGGGGGCAAGCGUUGUCCGGAUUUAUUGGGCGUAAAGAGCGUGUAGGCGGCCAGACAGGUCCGUUGUGAAAACUCGAGGCUCAACCUCGAGACGUCGACGGAAGCCGUCUGGCUAGAGUCCGGAAGAGGAGUGUGGAAUUCCUGGUGUAGCGGUGAAAUGCGCAGAUAUCAGGAAGAACACCUAUGGCGAAGGCAGCACUCUGGGACGGUACUGACGCUGAGACGCGAAAGCGUGGGGAGCGAACAGGAUUAGAUACCCUGGCAGUCCACGCCGUAAACGAUGGAUGCUAGGUGUGGGCGGUGUCGACUCCGUCCGUGCCGAAGCUAACGCAUUAAGCAUCCCGCCUGGGGAGUACGGCCGCAAGGCUA
rnacentral:rRNA from 1 species